rnacentral:rRNA from 1 species
UGUGGAUGUUGAAAAAUCCUGAGAUGACUUGAGAGUAGGAGCGAAAGACUAAUCAAACCCCGUGAUAGCUGGUUCUCUCCGAAAUCGCUUGAGGGCGAGUCUUAUGGAAGUACCCGACGGAGGUAGAGCACUGAAUGGCUUAGGGGCCCUACCUGGCUGCCAAAACCAAUCUAACUCCGAAUACCGUCGGUCUCAGUAUCAUAGGAAUCAGGCCGUAGGGGAUAAGCUUUAUGGCCGAGAGGGCAACAGCCCAGACCAUCAGCUAAGGUGCCUAAAUGUGAUUAAGUGGAAAGGAUGUGGCUUUGCUUAGACAGUGAGGAUGUUGGCUUAGAGGCAGCCAUCAUUUAAACAGUGCGUAAUAGCUGACUCAUCGAGCGAGGUCGCGCCGAAAAUGAUUGGCGAUCAAAUCACAUACCGAAGCUAUGGAUUCCAUUCUGAUUCGUCAGAAUGGAGUGGUAGGAGAGCGUAAUCAGUGCUGCGAAGCUGGACGGAAACGGAAAGUGGAGCGCUGAUUAGUGAGAAUGCAGACACGAGUAGCGAUAAACCAGGUGAGAAUCCUGGUCGCCGUAAACCUAAGGUUUCCUGGGCCAGGUUCGUCCUCCCAGGGUUAGCCGGGAGCUAAGAUGAGGCCGUAAGGCGUAAUCGAUGCACAGCAGGUUAAAUAUUCCUGCGCCCGCCAGGGUUAAGGCUGUGAAUGACGCAUGGGAAGACAUUGACUAGACAAUUGAAUGUUGAGCUUAGGCUUCGGCCGAAGCGUAUCAGUGGGUUCCUGUGCCUAGAAAACUUCGCAGUUGUUCCCCUGACGGCCCGUACCGCAAACCGACGCAGGUAGGUGAGUGUAAGCGCACUCAGGCGCGCGAGAGAAACCUCUCUAAGGAACUCGGCACAUUUGCCUCGUAACUUCGGGAGAAGAGGUGCCCACUUCGGUGGGCCACAGUAAAUUGCGUUUAGCGACUGUUUAACAAAAACACAGCACUCUGCCAAGUCGUGAAGACGACGUAUAGGGUGUGACACGUGACCAAUGCGGAAAGAUUAAAACAUUGGGUUAGCCGCAAGGCGAAGCUCGGUGUCCAAGUCCCCGUGAAUGUCGGCCGUAACUAUAACGGUCCUAAGGUAGCGAAAUUCCUUGUCGGGUAAGUUCCGACCUGCACGAAUCGUGUAACGACUGAACGACUGUCUCGGAGAGGAUCUCGGCGAAACUGUAACGGCGGUGAAGAUGCCGCCUGCCCGCAGUAGGACGGAAAGACCCUAUGCACCUUUACUGUAAGCUCGUAUUGUGUUCUGAUCAAUUAUGCGUAGCGUAGGUGGGAGACUUUGAAGCGGGCCCUUCGGGGCUCGUGGAGUCGCAAUGUGAAACACCACUCUUAGCUGAUUAGGAUUCUAACCCCGAUUUCUGUGAAACCAGACGGGGGACCGUGCGUGCGGGUCAGUUUGACUGGGGCGGUUUCCUCCCGA